AGCGCAGGCGGGUUGGCAAGUCCUUGGUGAAAUCCUGAGGCUUAACCUCAGGACUGCCAAUGAUACUGCCGAUCUUGAGUGCAGAAGAGGAAGACGGAAUUCCUGGUGUAGCGGUGAAAUGCGUAGAUAUCAGGAAGAACACCGGUGGCGAAGGCGGUCUUCUGGUCUGUAACUGACGCUCAUGCUCGAAAGCGUGGGGAGCAAACAGGAUUAGAUACCCUGGUAGUCCACGCCCUAAACGAUGGAUACUCGAUGUCGGGUCGCAAGGCCCGGUGUCCAAGCUAACGCGUUAAGUAUCCCACCUGGGGAGUACGAUCGCAAGGUUGAA
rnacentral:rRNA from 1 species